CGCGGUAACCUAACAUCCAGGGGACGUGGAGAACAGGCAGAGCGGCAGCCUGACCAAAUUCACCAAAGUCUGUGAUGAAAGAUGCCCCGUGCAAAGUCAUGCCACCAGUCUGAGGACAUCAAUGGGAAUGGCACAUGGGACACGUGGCUUUCAACUCCAGCGAGCACACGGCACAGGUGUGCGUCACCGCGGGCAAUCGUGGCAAGGACCCAAUUCGACUGGACCACAGCGGAAAAUGAUACUUCCAGAGAAGAAGUUAUUUACUUCUACAACGAAUGGAAGAGUUACAACUUCCAGAUGACAGCUCUCCGCUCAUCCUUCUGGGCAACUUGAACAUCCGACAGAACUUAUGCGACCUACUGCGUUUAUUUUCUUCUUUAGCUCUCAUUUCAGUAUUAAUAUUCCCUGUAUUUUUUGCAGGAGAGGCACCAAUCCUAUUUGAGUGACGUUUCGAAUUGAAAUUGUAUUAGAGCAGACAGCUCAUCUGCAGAGCGUUGGCCCCUGGUGCAGGAGACAAGGGUUUGAUUCCUGGCAUGUUAAUAGUUUUUUUUUAUUACCUCUAUUAAGGUUUUGUACUUUGUACAUCGCCCGAACUUAUUUAAGAAGACUCCUCAUGUGACUUAAAAUGUGUUCAAUGAAUCCAGAAUGUAAUAUUUGUUAAGCAUGCAGGGGCAGUGAUUGAAUUUGUCAUGUUGUACAUAUUUUGGUACAUGCUGAGUUAACAUACAUUCUAAAGUACAAUGCCCAUAUGUGAAUAAGAGUUGUAUACGUUUAUGAGAGUCAAUAUGGCGUGGAAAUGUCCCUUAUGUAGUUGGUCAAUUGGAACUAUAUUAGGCAGUAAUAACAUCUAUGCUUUUGGUCUUAAAACAAAAAAAGGAUUACUCUGUUGGACAACUACUCAAUUGUCUUGACGACAUAAAGGCCUGGAUGGCUCGGAACUUUUUAAAUUGUAAUGACUUGGGUCAAUGCAAAGUUUCUACGUGGCUUAACUGAUUCAAUUUGAAUUUACCAAUAAAUAAAACCCUGGAGGAGAAGCGUAUCUUAGUCAAUGUAUUAAUUAAUUAAUUAAUUCAGCAAAGCUCUCUUCAGGAAGACAGCCGCGUGGUCAUCCAGUGUGUGUAGUUAAAAGGUUAAUAUUUCUUGAUGGAGCAAAAGUGGUGUGAUUAGCCGUCGUCCUUGGCCUUGACUGAACGAAGG